CGCGAAUGGCUCAUUACAUCAGUUAUGGUUCCUUAGAUCGUACCCACAUUACUUGGAUAACUGUGGUAAUUCUAGAGCUAAUACAUGCAAAUAGAGUUCCGACCAGAGAUGGAAGGAAUGCUUUUAUUAGAUCAAAACCAAUCGGUGGCGGGCUUGCCUUGCUCACCGUUUGACUUGGUGACUCUGAAUAACUUUGUGCUGAUCGCACGGUCUCGUACCGGCGACGCAUCUUUCAAAUGUCUGCCUUAUCAACUGUCGAUGGUAGUUUCUGCGACUACCAUGGUUGUUACGGGUAACGGGGAAUCAGGGUUCGAUUCCGGAGAGGGAGCCUGAGAAACGGCUACCACAUCCAAGGAAGGCAGCAGGCGCGCAAAUUACCCACUCCCGGCACGGGGAGGUAGUGACGAAAAAUAACGAUACGGGACUCAUCCGAGGCCCCGUAAUCGGAAUGAGUACACUUUAAAUCCUUUCACGAUUAACAAUUGGAGGGCAAGCCUGGUGCCAGCAGCCGCGGUAACUCCAGCUCCAAUAGCGUAUAUUAAAGUUGUUGCGGUUAAAAAGCUCGUAGUUGAAUCUGUGUCCCACACUGUCGGUUCACCGCUCGCGGUGUCCAACUGGCAUGUCUGUGGGACGUCCUGCCGGUGGGCGCAGCCCCUCAAAAGGCGGCCCAACUCAAAAUCCUACCACGGUGCUCUUCACCGAGUGUCGAGG
rnacentral:rRNA from 1 species